rnacentral:rRNA from 1 species
GGAUUGGGAGGGUUCUACGGAACCCGUUUGGUGAAUCUAGUGCCGAGAAAAGCCUUCUAUGUGUUGAAUUUCUAGUACCCGUACCCCAAACCGACACAGGUGGGUGGGUAGAGCAUACCUAGGGGCGCGUGAUAACUCUCUCUAAGGAACUCGGCAAAAUGGCCCUGUAACUUCGGGAUAAGGGGUGCCUGCGUGAGCAGGCCGCAGUGAAAUGGCUCUGGCGACUGUUUACCAAAAACACAGGUCUCUGCUAAGUCGUAAGACGAUGUAUAGGGGCUGACUCCUGCCCAGUGCCGGAAGGUUAAGGAAGUUGGUUAGCGCAAGCGAAGCUGGCGACCGAAGCCCCGGUGAACGGCGGCCGUAACAAUAACGGUCCUAAGGUAGCAAAAUUCCUUGUCGGGUAAGUUCCGACCCGCACGAAAGGAGUAACGAUCAGAGCGCUGUCUCGGAGAGAGACACGGCGAAAUAGGAUUGUCCGUGAAGAUACGGACUACCUGCACCCGGACAGAAAGACCCUAUGAAGCUUUACUGUAACUUGGAAUUGUGUUCGGACUUUGUCUGCGCAGAAUAGGUGGGAGGCUAUGAAACGUUCCUCGCGGGGAACUGGAGCCAUCGUUGAGAUACCACUCUGGCAGAGUCUGGAUUCUAACCUACGGGGACAGUUCCAGGUGGGCAGUUUGACUGGGGCGGUCGCCUCCUAAAAUGUAACGGAGGCGCGCAAAGGUUCCCUCAGGCUGGUUGGAAAUCAGCCAUAGAGUGUAAAAGCAUAAGGGAGCUUGACUGUGAGACCUACAAGUCGAGCAGGGACGAAAGUCGGCUUUAGUGAUCCGACGGCACUGAGUGGAAGGGCCGUCGCUCAACGGAUAAAAGUUACUCUAGGGAUAACAGGCUGAUCUCCCCCAAGAGUUCACAUCGACGGGGAGGUUUGGCACCUCGAUGUCGGCUCGUCGCAACCUGGGGCGGUAGUACGUCCCAAGGGUUGGGCUGUUCGCCCAUUAAAGCGGCACGUGAGCUGGGUUCAGAACGUCGUGAGACAGUUCGGUCCAUAUCCGGUGUAGGCGUAGGAGCAUUGAAAGGAUCUCUCCUUAGUACGAGAGGACCGGGAGGGACGUACCUCUGGUGUACCUGUUAUCGUGCCAACGGUAAACGCAGGGUAGCCAUGUACGGAGUGGAUAACCGCUGAAAGCAUCUAAGUGGGAAGCCCACCUUAAGAUGAGUGCUCCCUUGAGGCCACGGGAAGACGACCCGUUUGAUAGGCGCUAGGUGGAAGUGCAGUAAUGCAUGCAGCCGAGGCGUACUAAUAGGCCGAUGGCUUGUCU